rfam:Acinetobacter haemolyticus CIP 64.3 genomic scaffold acLrj-supercont1.3, whole genome shotgun sequence.
UUCUAUGGUAGGACGGAAGGGGGACACCUUUGGGUGUGCUGAUUCCUAGAUGAUCAGUCUGCUAACCCCUUUUCGUUCUGCCACCAUU